UAAGUAAACGGUUUCAAUAGCCGAAGUUGGCUAGAAAUCUAGUUUUGGAUUAAUUAAUUAUAGUUAGAUUGUAAUUAAUUCGAGUUAUUAUCGAAAUUGUGUAGACUUGACGAGACGACUACCAAUGGAACCCGAAACUUACGGAACGCGAGAUCGCUAGGUAUUAUCGAAGAUUAUGGAUAGCAAGCGUGUGUUUUUCAGGUACCUAGAUUCUAUACGUGGCUAGAAGUCCUUCUUUGACCAGAGGUUCCUUUGGGCUAUGUACAGUCCCGACUUUCGUAGUUGCUGCAGUAGUGUGAGUCUGACCGGUGUCGUGGCCUAGCAUAUUAACAUGUUUUUAUGAUGUCUAUAGUUGUUGUCAUUAAAUAUACGCUUUGUUGGCUAUGAUUAUUGUAUUUGUUCCACGGAGGUAGAUACCCGUGAAGUGACUUUGACACUAGUAGUUUAUGCCGGGCUAGUACGUACCUGAUACGGAAACGAUAAGCCCGAGCAAGUUGUAAGACUUUACUAGUGUAUAUAAAUGUAUCUUUGUUUUGUUAAA